rnacentral:lncRNA from 1 species
CGGAAGGCUCUCCAUCGCCUAAUAGCAUUUAGGCGCCCAAACAACAAGUAGCAAAUAGAAAGGGUUAACUCCAUGCAACUACCAUGUAUAAAAGAGAAAAUCAUGUUAUUCGAAUUUAAUUACCUAGCAUGGUAAAUAACCUAGCAACAUAACUCAACUCAUAUAUCAACAUGCUAACAUAGAUUAACUCAGAUAAUAAUAACCUCAAC